ACAAGUACCUAACCACUGCCAGUUUUAUUUCACCACUAUUUUUUCUCAUUAUAGCUAAUUUUUAAGAACUUUUUGUUACAAUCUGAUGUAAAAGAAUAAUGUUUUAACACUGUUUCGCGUGUACAGUAGAAUACACAGGUCUCUAGGUUGUGAUCCUAUUUACAUUAGUAAUUGGAUUAUGAAAUAUGGGGUCAAGAGAGUAUGACAAGUUUAUAUGUUAUUUAAUUAUUUAUUUAUAUUAUUUGUAGCUAGUAACGACAUGCAGGCUAUGUAAUUGUGAGUGGUCACCACUGAUCGAGCUUAUCUCAAACAAAUCCUUAGAGCACUUCCCAUGAGAAAAACAUCAAUCUUCUAGUCAGUGAACAUAGAAAUCUGUAUGUUUAAUGGAAAUUAUUACUAAAUUAAACAUGUGUUUUAAGUCAGUAAGAACAAGUCUAGUGAGUCCUCGCUGUUGGAUACCGCCACCAAGUGGGGUGUCUUUCUUCCUCAAACCAGUAAUACAUUCUGAAUUGAAGCGUAGAAUAGCUAUUAUACUAUUCUAUACAAUUGAGGCUUGAUCUCAUAUCUCAGGGUGGGUGGCAGCAUUAUCAUCGUAAUGCCUAUGGACUUUGUAUGUAACUACCACCAGGUGAGUAAUAUGCUUGUUCACUCAUCACCCAUGCAAUAAAAAAAGAGCUCUGAAUCUCCACUUCAGAGUACAGUCUUGACUGCCCCUCAUGAGAAGCCAACUGCUGGUAUAUCAAUUCUUCAGUGCUAUUAUUUGAAAAGCAUGCAUCCAUUGAUAGGAUUGAUCAUUCAGGGUGAAAUGCAUGGAGUAGGGUGUUAAAACUUGUAGAAAGCUACCAUUAAUGGUCAUAGUAGCAGCUAACUGCUUCAUAUACACUGUUAAGAGGAAAGACGGGCAAAUUUUCCUGGGAGUUCCUAGCUUACACGCACCAUCUAAUGUUUUUAGUCCAAAAGAUUGUAUUCUAUUGUGUUACCAUUAAACAUCAACAUGUAUAACCAUAAUACACAAUAUAACAAAUAAGCUAUUAAAUUGUACAGCAGUUGAAUUAGGCUUUCUUAAUAUUGUGGAAGAGCUUUUAAAAUUGGGAGAUAGUCCCAACAAAAAAAUAAUCAAAAUCCUCUUUAUAUAAAAUUUAAAUAGCUUUGAUGCUUAUGGGCACAUAGAGGAGUUUUGAGGUCUUUGGACAUAUUGCCAGAAAGAGAGGUGACAAUUUAUAAAAGCUGCUGGUAACAGGCAAGAUGUUGGUUGGAUCAGAUACGCUCUACACCUCAGUACACUAUGCCAUCCGUACUUCUAAGGAUAGGCAGGGCUGGCGCAGGAUAGUCCAGGAGAAAGUUAUUAAAGGAGGCCACAACUAUCAGCAUUGAGGAUUAUGGACAUGAGGAGGAGGAGGAGGACACUUAUACUUAAUUUUGUUUCACAUAAGUACUAAAGUCGUAUGUAAUAUAAAUUUGGUUAAUAAAUUAAAUUUAAGUACCUGAGAACAAAUAAACUAUAAAUAAUGGUAUAUAAA